rnacentral:misc_RNA from 1 species
UCCGGUUUAACACCGGCAGUCCCCUCAGAGUGCCCAACUUAAUGGUGGCAACUAAGGGCAAGGGUUGCGCUCGUUGCGGGACUUAACCCAACAUUUCACAACACGAGCUGACGACAGCCAUGCAGCACCUAUCUCUCUGUCCCCGAAGGGAACACUACAUCUCUGUAGCUGUCAGAGGAUGUUAAGCCCAGGUAAGGUUCUGCGCGUUGCUUCGAAUUAAACCACAUACUCCACCGCUUGUGCGGGCCCCCGUCAAUUCCUUUGAGUUUUAGUCUUGCGACCGUACUCCCCAGGCGGAUUACUUAAUGCGUGAGCUUCGGUACCCAAGAGGUUAACAUCCCGGACACCUAGUAAUCAUCGUUUACGGCGUGGACUAC